UCCCCUCAUGCCUUCCCUCCUCCCUCCCUUCCCCUUCUGCAGGCCUAUCCCCCUGCACCCUCUCAGUGCCUCAAGAACUGCUGCAGUUCCCGCAAACCCUCUGCCAGCAACAAGGGUGUCUGCGAAGUGAUGGAGACACUGACAGUGCAGGAAGAGGCAAACCCAGGGACAGAGGGGUGCAGGACUCGGGCCCUGGCACACAAGGAGGUGUUGACCAAGGCCUGCAGCAGCUGGGCCUCCUGGGAUCCUCACCAAGGGCCGGCUCUGGUGCUCAGGGCGUCUCCUCCCUCAGGAAGCUGAGCUCAUCCGGAACAUUCAGGAGCUGCUGAAGAGAGUCAUCGUGCAAGCAGUGAGCCAGAUCCGGUGGGUCGAGGGCUGCCCAAGGGAUGACUCCUGACCCCACCCACGGCUGGUC
rnacentral:lncRNA from 10 species